rnacentral:rRNA from 1 species
AAAUUGAAGAGUUUGAUCAUGGCUCAGAUUGAACGCUGGCGGCAGGCCUAACACAUGCAAGUCGAACGGUAGCACAGAGAGCUUGCUCUCGGGUGACGAGUGGCGGACGGGUGAGUAAUGUCUGGGAAACUGCCUGAUGGAGGGGGAUAACUACUGGAAACGGUGGCUAAUACCGCAUAACGUCGCAAGACCAAAGAGGGGGACCUUCGGGCCUCUUGCCAUCAGAUGUGCCCAGAUGGGAUUAGCUGGUUGGUGAGGUAACGGCUCACCAAGGCGACGAUCCCUAGCUGGU